UGAGUAACCUGCCCUUAACUCUGGGAUAAGCCUGGGAAACUGGGUCUAAUACCGGAUAUGACUCCUCAUCGCAUGGUGGGGGGCGGAAAGCUUUAUUGUGGUUUUGGAUGGACUCGCGGCCUAUCAGCUUGUUGGUGAGGUAAUGGCUCACCAAGGCGACGACGGGUAGCCGGCCUGAGAGGGUGACCGGCCACACUGGGACUGAGACACGGCCCAGACUCCUACGGGAGGCAG
rnacentral:rRNA from 1 species